GAACAGAGGCACAGGGUGAGUCCUUGUUCAUUCAUGUUGUAGGAAGCCACCCUCUGAAAUGAUCCACAUGAUCCACCAUGUAUGAGCACAAGUAGGAUCCUCUUGGAGGCCGAGUUCCGGGGCAGCGGCAUGUAGGACAGCUGUACACGUUAUGGAAGCGCAGGUUAUUCACUGUCCUGCUCUGUGGUGUAUGGAAUACGUUCCAUGGUUGGCUGGCAAGAAUCUCUCUUCAUGGGGCUACCACAUCGUAAGCAUUUUACCGGGUAUUCUACCCAUGAAAUCGUGUUAGUCAUCACAGCAACCUGUGGAGUUAGUGUUACCGGCCCCCAAAGCUGAGUCACGGAGAGGCCUGGUGAUUUUCCCUUGGAGUAGACACAGUGGAUACUGAUUUUGCCUUUAUCAGCAGCUGGUCCUGGACCCAGAACUGGAAAUCAGUCUCGGGAUACAGAGGCCUGAGAUAGAAGAGGGAAAAACAUCACUUUGAUUGCUGGGCACACAGGUCACUUGGAAGGGUGGACGCCUCAUCAGAAGCCCUCAGGUCUGAGAGGACAUCUGUUUCGAGGAGUGCAGUGAGGGUAAACCAAGCAGGAGCCAGCCUCUCUGUUGGUUGGGAUUGUGCCCUUGCUGUUUUGUUUUUCCGAACAUUAUGCUCCCCUAAAACCACCCCCAUUUGACAUCAAAAGCAUUAAUAAAUCCUAUGUAAGUCAUCGCCCCUCCAGUGCUUCAUCAACCUAUAAAAAUCUGUUUCACACCUACUGUGUGUCCAGCAUUUCAACCCCAUGGUGUUGAUUAAA